CAACAAUGAAAGGGAUGGAUUAUUACAAAGCCAUCAUGUUUGUGCAGAAAUGGAGAGUUUAGAGGAAAGGCGGAGACUCAUUCAAGAGCAAGAUUCAGCUUAUGAAGAAUCGUUAAUCAUGGACCAACAGAGGAUGGAAAAUGAGAGAAGAAGGGAAAGACUAGAGGAGAGACGAUUACUGG